rfam:Gossypium hirsutum cultivar TM-1 chromosome 10, whole genome shotgun sequence
AGUUAAAAUUUUCAUUCAUUUCUAUUGUUAAAAUCUGGCAUGGAAGAUGGAAUGACUAAACAGUUACACGCGGCAUGCCACGUGCAUAUCAUGUUGAUGUACAAUAACAAGUUUUUAAUAAUAGAAAUGAAUAUAAUUUUUAACA